GCUCUCAUAGUAUAGUGGUGUAAUGUGGACUGUUACAAUUAAGGUGUUAUCUAAGGUCCCGAGUUCGAUUCCCGCUGAGAGCU